rnacentral:rRNA from 1 species
CUAUAUGGCCAUACCACCCUGAACGUGCCUGAUUUCAUCUGAUCUCGGAAGCUAAGCCCGGUCGGGCCUGGUUAGUACUUGGAUGGGAGACAACUUCUUUAAUAAUCUUUUUCCUCAAGGC